CCUACGGGAGGCAGCAGUGGGGAAUAUUGGACAAUGGGGGCAACCCUGAUCCAGCCAUGCCGCGUGCGUGAAGAAGGCCCUCGGGUUGUAAAGCACUUUCAGUGAGGAAGAACGCCUGGUGGUUAAUACCCAUCAGGAAAGACAUCACUCACAGAAGAAGCACCGGCUAACUCCGUGCCAGCAGCCGCGGUAAUACGGAGGGUGCGAGCGUUAAUCGGAAUUACUGGGCGUAAAGCGCGCGUAGGUGGCUUGAUAAGCCGGUUGUGAAAGCCCCGGGCUCAACCUGGGAACGGCAUCCGGAACUGUCAAGCUAGAGUGCAGGAGAGGAAGGUAGAAUUCCCGGUGUAGCGGUGAAAUGCGUAGAGAUCGGGAGGAAUACCAGUGGCGAAGGCGGCCUUCUGGACUGACACUGACACUGAGGUGCGAAAGCGUGGGUAGCAAACAGGAUUAGAUACCCUUGUAGUC
rnacentral:rRNA from 1 species